AUUGAACGCUGGCGGCAGGCUUAACACAUGCAAGUCGAGCGAGCGGCGGACGGGUGAGUAAUGUCUGGGAAACUGCCUGAAGGUGGGGGAUAACUACUGGAAACGGUAGCUAAUACGGCUAACCAUCAGAUGGGCCCAGAUGGGAUUAGCUAGUAGGUGGGGUAAUGGCACACCUAGGCGACGACCCCUAGCUGGUCUGAGAGGUGGACCGUCCACACUGGAACUGAGACCCGGUCCAGACUCCUACGGGAGGCAGCAGUGGGGAAUAUUGCACAAUGGGCGCAAGCCUGAUGCAGCCAUGCCGCGUGUGUGAAGAAGGCCUUCGGGUUGUAAAGCACUUUCAGCGAGGAGGCGUUACUCGCAGAAGAAGCACCGGCUAACUCCGUGCCAGCAGCCGCGGUAAUAC
rnacentral:rRNA from 1 species